rnacentral:misc_RNA from 1 species
CUAGUACCAUUAAUUUACGAGAAAAGGCAAAUGAGUGCUGUAGAAAACAAGUAAAAAAUUAAUGGAUGUAGAUAUAGGGAAGCCAAAUCUUCCUCCCAAUUCCAUUUCAUAGAACAUACAGCCCAGCACAACUCAACCAAGAAAUUAAGUGGCAAAGGAAAGAAAUAAAGUGGCACCUAUUUUGAUGUAGAUAAGAAUUAUAAUGCACUUCAGCAAUAAUAUGUCCCAAGUACUUUUGCACUAAUAUUCAGAAAUAUGACAUCAUAAGCAAAUUCAAAACAAUAAUGAUGCUUGAACCUUU